GACGUAGGGUGCGAGCGUUUGUCCGGAUUUAUUGGGCGUAAAGGGCUCGUAGGCGGUCCAUCGCGUCGGGAGUGAAAAGCUGGGGCUCAACCCCAGUCCUGCUUUCGAUACGGGCAGGCUAGAGGCAGGUAGGGGAGAACGGAAUUCCCGGUGUAGCGGUGAAAUGCGCAGAUAUCGGGAGGAACACCGGUGGCGAAGGCGGUUCUCUGGGCCUGUACUGACGCUGAGGAGCGAAAGCGUGGGGAGCGAACAGG
rnacentral:rRNA from 1 species